GAUGAAGAACGCAGCGAAAUGCGAUACGUAAUGUGAAUUGCAGAAUUCAGUGAAUCAUGGAAUCUUUGAACGCAUAUUGCGCUCUCUGGUAUUCCGGAGAGCAUGCUUGUUUGAGUAUCAGUAAACACCUCAACUUCCAUAUCUUUUUUGAAAUGGGAGUUGGACUUGAGUGAUCCCAACGCUUUUCCUCACCGAAAAGUGGCGGGUUACUUGAAAUGCAGGUGCAGCUGGACUUUUCUCUGAGCUAUAAGCAUAUCUAUUUAGUCUGCCUAAAAACAGAUUAUUACCUUUGCUGCAGCUAACAUAAAGGAGAUUAGUUCUUGUGCUGACUGAUGCAGGAUUCACAAAGACAGGCUUCGGCCGACUUUGUAAACUCGAUCUCAAAUCAAGUAAGACUACCCGCUGAACUUAAGCAUAUCAAUAAGCGGAGGA
rnacentral:misc_RNA from 1 species